UCUGGGUGCAGUGGUGCACGCCUGUAAUCCCAGUGGCUCAGGAGGUUGAGGCAGGGGGAUCGCAAGUUCAAAUCCAGCCUCAGCAAAACCAAGGUGCUAGGCAACUCAGUGAGAUCCUGUCUCUA
rnacentral:sRNA from 1 species